rnacentral:rRNA from 1 species
CGUGUAGGCGGUUGGUCAAGUCUGGUGUGAAAGCCCGGGGCUUAGCUCCGGAAGUGCGCUGGAAACUAGCCAACUUGAGCGCGAUAGAGGAGGGUGGAAUUCCUGGUGUAGCGGUGAAAUGCGUAGAUAUCAGGAGGAACACCGGCGGCGAAGGCGGCCCUCUGGAUCGUUGCUGACGCUGAGACGCGAAAGCGUGGGGAGCAAACAGGAUUAGAUACCCUGGUAGUCCACGCUGUAAACUAUGGGUACUAGGUGUUCGGGGUGUUGACCCCCUGAGUGCCGACGCUAACGCAUUAAGUACCCCGCCUGGGGACUACGGCCGCAAGGCUAAA